rnacentral:rRNA from 1 species
UGGGGAAUUUUGCGCAAUGGGCUAACGCCUGACGCAGCAACGCCGCGUGGAGGAUGAAGGUCUUUGGAUUGUAAACUCCUGUCAGCGGGGAAAAAGCGACCGGUGCUCAUACCACCGGGAGUUGAUUGUACCCGCAGAGGAAGCCCCGGCUAACUCUGUGCCAGCAGCCGCGGUAAUACAGAGGGGGCAAGCGUUAUUCGGAAUUAUUGGGCGUAAAGGGCGCGUAGGCGGCAUAGCAAGUGGAAGGUGAAAUCCCUCGGCUUAACCGAGGAACUGCCCUCCAAACUGCGUUGCUUGAGGCCGGGAGAGGUGAGUGGAAUUCCCAGUGUAGCGGUGAAAUGCGUAGAUAUUGGGAGGAACACCAGUGGCGAAGGCGGCUCACUGGACCGGUUCUGACGCUGAGGCGCGAAAGCGUGGGGAGCAAACGGGAUUAGAUACCCCUGUAGUCC